CUUAAUCAGACCAUGAAUCAUUAGAUUUGAUCAUCCAUGAUUUCGAUCUAGCUAUGACUUGAUUUGAUCAUGUUGAUUUCACCAAUCGAGAUAUUGGACCAAUCGUAAUGUUGGAUUGUGUCACCUGAUCAAUUCGAAUUGUACCUCAUAAAUUCUCUCUCCUCUGAUUUUCUCUCUCCACUUGAUUUUAUGAAAUUGAUGAAGAAACCUCAGUCCUAUCACUUCAAAUCUGAUUUGAUCUGAUAGUCAAAUUUUGGAUCAUUUAGGUCCUAAUUAGAUUUUGAUUAGAUAAAAUUAGAUGAU
rnacentral:lncRNA from 1 species